UACGGAAGGAGCAGUGGGGAAUAUUGCACAAUGGGCGAAAGCCUGAUGCAGCUAUGCCGCGUGUAUGAAGAAGGCCUUAGGGUUGUAAAGUACUUUCAUCGGGGAGGAAAAAACAAAACUAAUAAUUUUAUUUCUUGACGUUACCCGAAAAAGAAGCACCGGCUAACUCCGUGCCAGCAGCCGCGGUAAUACGGAGGGUGCUAGCGUUAAUCAGAAUUACUGGGCGUAAAGAGCACGUAGGUGGUUUUUUUAAAGUCAGAUGUGAAAUCCCUGGGCUUAACCUAGGAACUGCAUUUUGAAACUGAAAUACUAGAGUAUCGUAGAGGGAGGUAGAAUUCUAGGUGUAGCGGUGAAAUGCGUAGAUAUCUGGAGGAAUACCUGUGGCGAAAGCGGCCUCCUAAACGAAUACUGACACUGAGGGUGCGAAAGCGUGGGGAGCAAACAGGGAUUAGAUACC
rnacentral:rRNA from 1 species